rnacentral:rRNA from 1 species
UACGGAGGGUGCAAGCGUUGUCCGGAAUCACUGGGCGUAAAGGGCGCGUAGGCGGCUGAUUUAGUCGAGGGUGAAAGCCCGUGGCUCAACCACGGAAUGGCCUUCGAUACUGGUUGGCUUGAGACCGGAAGAGGACAGCGGAACUGCGAGUGUAGAGGUGAAAUUCGUAGAUAUUCGCAAGAACACCAGUGGCGAAGGCGGCUGUCUGGUCCGGUUCUGACGCUGAGGCGCGAAAGCGUGGGGAGCAAACAGG